rnacentral:rRNA from 1 species
GACGAACGCUGGCGGCGUGCUUAACACAUGCAAGUCGAACGGAAAGGCCCUGCUUUUGUGGGGUGCUCGAGUGGCGAACGGGUGAGUAACACGUGAGUAACCUGCCCUUGACUUUGGGAUAACUUCAGGAAACUGGGGCUAAUACCGGAUAGGAGCUCCUGCUGCAUGGUGGGGGUUGGAAAGUUUCGGCGGUUGGGGAUGGACUCGCGGCUUAUCAGCUUGUUGGUGGGGUAGUGGCUUACCAAGGCUUUGACGGGUAGCCGGCCUGAGAGGGUGACCGGGGACAGUGGGACGGAGAGAGGGAGCAGAAGCAGAAGGGCGGCAGCAGUGGGGAGCCGUGCAGAACGGGCGGGAGCCAGAUACAGCAACGCGGGGUGCGGAAGACGGGCCUACGGGGGGUAAACAGAUUGCGAAGGUACUGAGCACAGCGUGACGGUAAGGAAUCAGAAAGCAACGGCUAACUACGGG